GACGAACGCUGGCGGCGUGCUUAACACAUGCAAGUCGAACGGAAAGGCCCUGCUUUUGUGGGGUGCUCGAGUGGCGAACGGGUGAGUAACACGUGAGUAACCUGCCCUUGACUUUGGGAUAACUUCAGGAAACUGGGGCUAAUAACGGAUAGGAGCUCCUGCUGCAUGGUGGGGGUUGGAAAGUUUCGGCGGGUGGGGAUGGACUCGCGGCUUAUCAGCUUGUUGGUGGGGUAGUGGCUUACCAAGGCUUUGACGGGUAGCCGGCCUGAGAGGGUGACCGGCCACAUUGGGACUGAGAGACGGCCCAGACUCCUACGGGAGGCAGCAGUGGGGAAUAUUGCACAAUGGGCGGAAGUCUGAUGCAGCAACGCCGCGUGCGGGAUGACGGCCUUCGGGGUGGAAACCGCUUUCGCCUGUGACGAAGCGUGAGUGACGGUAAUGGGUAAAGAAGCACCGGCUAACUACGUG
rnacentral:rRNA from 1 species